UGCGUAGGCGGGAAGGUAAGUGGGUGGUGAAAGCGCCCGGCUAAACCGGGCGAGGUCCAUUCAGACUGCCUUUCUAGAGGCGGAUAGAGGGGUGCGGAAUUCCGGGUGUAGCGGUGAAAUGUGUAGAGAUCCGGAGGAACACCAGUGGUGCAAACGGCGCCCUGGGUCCGAACUGACGCUGAAGCGCGAAAGCGUGGGGAGCGAACG
rnacentral:rRNA from 1 species